UUUUUUCCAUUGGUUCAGAAACAUUCUUCCUGAAAUUUCUAACAGCACAAAAGGAACACAGGAAGUGGCCAUGUUUUCCUUGCUAAGGAUAAGAAAUCUCAAGUGCCAGAAAAAGCCCUCUGCUGAGAGCACAGCAAAGGCUCGUGGCUGCUGUCAGGCCCUCACGGUCUGGCGAGGGGUCUGGCGCCAGGUUUUCUCUGAUCCUUGGCCGCACUGGCUCCACCUCUUGCCACAAAGCCAAGGGCACUGACACGUCGUGGGCACUCGGGAAGUGUGUACAGAUCAGAAACCCCCUGCGAACCACUCCCCGUGGCAGAGAGACAGGGUGGGGCCUGUCCCCACCCCUGGAACAAAGCGAAACUGAGUUAACUUUGCCACCACACCAACAAGCUCUUCCGCCUGGCACAAGAGUCUCCUGCUGGGGAGUUCCCAUCACGGCUCAUGGGUUAACUGACUCGCAUCCGGGAGGCUGCAGGUUCCAUUCCUGGCCUUGCCCAGUGGGUUGAGGAUCUGGUGCUGUUGUGAGCUGUGGUGUAGGUUGCAGCUGCCGCUUGGAUCCCGACUUGCUGUGGCUGUGGUGUAGGCUGGCAGUUACAGCUCCGAUUCGACCCCUAGUCUGGGAAACCCGCAGCCUUAAAAAGCCAAAAAAAAAGCGUCUCCUGCUGAGGAAAAAGCCGGGGCAGCAUGAGCCCCAGGCCCUACACAGUCGGUCGCGCCGCCAGGCUCCUCUCUGUGUGUCUACGUCACACACGCUGCUCCGUGACUCAGGCGCGCAGCAGCUGUGACAAGGAUCAGGACGGCAGCUGGCGGUGGGGGCGUUCACCACGUGCUGGAAGGAGGCGUGCUGUGGUCACUCCUGACGACACCCUGGGAGGCAGGGGCUGUGAGUCCCCCGCACCGACAAGGAAGCUCAGAGAGAUCCAGUCACCAGCCCAAGGUCACACAGCCAACAGCGGCAGAAGCACGGUGCAGCCCUGUCCCCAAGGUGGCGCAGCCCUGUCCCCAAGUCCCCUGGGCCUGCCAAGUGGCUCACCUCCUCUCGGCCCAGGCGAUCACUGGGUCCCACUCGUUCCUCUGCAGCUCCACCAGCGUCUCCGGCUCUUCCACCCUGUAGCUAAUUCAGCCGGCCUUUGCGUGCUCGGGGACGGGCCGGGGGCCUGUUGUUACCAGGUGCAUGGUGUAGGGCUUGAUGGUGUCCUGCUGGGAGUCCCACUCCGUGGCCACCGCGACAGCCAGGGCCUCGCUGGGGACGGUGAAGAGCUUGGCCUGGGGCGUCUUCAGCUUCCUGUGGUCCAGGUUGAUCUCAAAGCCACCUUGAAAGAUGAGACGAGAGCCUCUCAGGGGCUACUCU
rnacentral:lncRNA from 1 species